rnacentral:lncRNA from 1 species
GUUGGCGCCAUACAAUGAAAUCUCCCUUUUUUUCCUUUUUUUUUUUUUUUUUUUUUUUUAAACGUAACAAUAUCUUUAUUGCAAUCUUGCUGUAACAAAUUACUAAGUUUACAGCUUUAACUUAGUAUCCCUCAUGUUAGCUUACCAAAUAGUUAAGGGAAGCACUAUUUGGCAAGGUAUUAUUUAUUCAUAAUAUUAGUAUUCAUAACAUAAAAAAUUUUCACAAAAUAUAUUCUAUAAAUUAAUGUGAUUAUACACAUACAUUACAUUUUGUUUCUCUUUUUCAUAGUAUUUAUUUUUUCCGGAAUCAACUCCGUUAUCGGUAUGAUCCGUGUUUCCAUUAGUAUUGGGCACAGUAUGUGUUGUUUUUCGCAUGUGCGUUAUCGGGUAUAGUUUGGAUGUGUGUCUAAAUUAUAUAAAUAUUAUCCACUGGAUUUAACGAUUAUAUAUGGUGAGUUUACUAUUCAAAUUUUCUUUAGUUAUCUACUGAUCUUUUUUGUCGAAAUGUAUGUGUGUAAUUCACAAAUAGGUAAUUUAAGUGUAACAAGUUGAAACACUCGACAUGCGAAAUGAUACAUUAUUUUUCCACAUUAAUUAAUAAACGUACGGAUAUACUGUUUAUAGU